UGGGGAAUAUUGCACAAUGGGCGCAAGCCUGAUGCAGCGACGCCGCGUGAGGGAUGAAGGCCUUCGGGUUGUAAACCUCUUUCAGUAGGGACGAAGCGUGAGUGACGGUACCUACCGAAGAAGCGCCGGCCAACUACGUGCCAGCAGCCGCGGUAAGACGUAGGGCGCGAGCGUUGUCCGGAUUUCUUGGGCGUAAAGAGCUCGUAGGCGGCUUGUUGCGUCGACCGUGAAAACCCGCGGCUUAACCGCGGGCUUGCGGUCGAUACGGGCGGGCUGGAGUUCGGUAGGGGAGACUGGAAUUCCUGGUGUAGCGGUGAAAUGCGCAGAUAUCAGGAGGAACACCGGUGGCGAAGGCGGGUCUCUGGGCCGAUACUGACGCUGAGGAGCGAAAGCGUGGGGAGCGAAC
rnacentral:rRNA from 1 species